GACGAAGGGGGCUAGCGUUGUUCGGAAUUACUGGGCGUAAAGGGCGCGUAGGCGGCCUGCUAAGUCGAACGUGAAAUCCCCGAGCUCAACUCGGGAACUGCGUCCGAUACUGGCAGGCUUGAAUCCGGGAGAGGGAUGCGGAAUUCCAGGUGUAGCGGUGAAAUGCGUAGAUAUCUGGAGGAACACCGGUGGCGAAGGCGGCAUCCUGGACCGGCAUUGACGCUGAGGCGCGAAAGCCAGGGGAGCAAACGGG
rnacentral:rRNA from 1 species